CCCGGUGGCCAUAGCGGAGGUGCCAUACCCGUUCCCAUCCCGAACACGGAAGUCAAGCCCUCCCACGCCGAUGGUACUGCGUUUUCGCGGGAGAGUAGGUAGCCGCCGGGC
rnacentral:rRNA from 1 species